GGCGGGCCAGGCGGUGCACGAUGUGCCACGGCUCGUGCGGCGACGGGCGGGCCGGUCCGUCGGCGUGGUUCAGAUACCACGGUCCGCCC
rnacentral:tRNA from 1 species